rnacentral:piRNA from 1 species
UGAUUACCUGUGGCUCAACUACCAGCCA